AUUGAACGCUGGCGGCAGGCUUAACACAUGCAAGUCGAGCGGGGUGAUGGUGCUUGCACUAUCACUUAGCGGCGGACGGGUGAGUAAUGCUUAGGAAUCUGCCUAUUAGUGGGGGACAACAUCUCGAAAGGGAUGCUAAUACCGCAUACGUCCUACGGGAGAAAGCAGGGGAUCACUUGUGACCUUGCGCUAAUAGAUGAGCCUAAGUCGGAUUAGCUAGUUGGUGGGGUAAAGGCCUACCAAGGCGACGAUCUGUAGCGGGUCUGAGAGGAUGAUCCGCCACACUGGGACUGAGACACGGCCCAGACUCCUACGGGAGGCAGCAGUGGGGAAUAUUGGACAAGGGGGGGAACCCUGAUCCAGCCAUGCCGCGUGUGUGAAGAAGGCCUUAUGGUUGUAAAGCACUUUAAGCGAGGAGGAGGCUCUUUUGGUUAAUACCCAAGAUGAGUGGACGUUACUCGCAGAAUAAACACCGGCUAACUCUGUGCCAGCAGCCGCCGUAA
rnacentral:rRNA from 1 species